rnacentral:misc_RNA from 1 species
UUUCCGUAGGUGAACCUGCGGAAGGCUCAUUAUCGACUUUCGAGGGGAAGGAAGAUGAGGAGUGGAGACUGUCGCUGGCUUUUAUUCCUGGGAAGCAUGUGCACGGCUUGCUUUUGGUUGACCCUUCUCGUACUCUCACACCUGUGCACCCAUUGUAGGUCCUCGAAAGAGGAUCUGUGUUUUUAUCAUCACACGCAUCGUAUGUCCAUGGAAUGUAACAUGAUCGUCUAUCGACCUCGCGGUCGGGUGGCGGUCUAAAUAAACAAAUACAACUUUCAGCAACGGAUCUCUUGGCUCUC